rnacentral:rRNA from 1 species
UGAUACGUACUGUGCGAACGUUAUUCGGAAUUACUGGGCUUAAAGGGUGUGUAGGCGGCUGAUUAAGUAGGGUGUGAAAGGCUCCGGCCUAACCGGAGCAUUGCGCUCUAAACUGAUCGGCUUGAGUGAGAUAGGGGUGUGCGGAACUUCCAGUGGAGCGGUGAAAUGUGUUGAUAUUGGAAGGAACGCCGGUGGCGAAAGCGGCACACUGGGUCUUAACUGACGCUGAGACACGAAAGCCAGGGGAGCGAACGGGAUUAGAUACCCCGGUAGUCCUGGCUGUAAACGCUGAGCACUAGUUGGGAGGGGCUUCGGCCCAUCCGAACGCAGAGAAAUCAUUAAGUGCUCCGCCUGGGGAGUAUGGUCGCAAGGCUG